CCUACGGGGGGCAGCAGUGGGGAAUAUUGGACAAUGGGGGCAACCCUGAUCCAGCCAUGCCGCGUGUGUGAAGAAGGCCCUCGGGUUGUAAAGCACUUUCAGUGAGGAAGAACGCCUGGUGGUUAAUACCCAUCAGGAAAGACAUCACUCACAGAAGAAGCACCGGCUAACUCCGUGCCAGCAGCCGCGGUAAUACGGAGGGUGCGAGCGUUAAUCGGAAUUACUGGGCGUAAAGCGCGCGUAGGUGGCUUGAUGAGCCGGUUGUGAAAGCCCCGGGCUCAACCUGGGAACGGCAUCCGGAACUGUCAAGCUAGAGUGCAGGAGAGGAAGGUAGAAUUCCCGGUGUAGCGGUGAAAUGCGUAGAGAUCGGGAGGAAUACCAGUGGCGAAGGCGGCCUUCUGGACUGACACUGACACUGAGGUGCGAAAGCGUGGGUAGCAAACAGGAUUAGAUACCCUAGUAGUC
rnacentral:rRNA from 1 species